CUUCCCUUACAUAUAAGACUAUAUUUGCAAUGCGGUAAUUUCGCAGAAAACGGUACAAUCGCCAAAAAAUCUUGUAAAAAGCUUCUGCUCUUCUGUAGUGUUGGACUACUAACUGUAAGGGUUUUGUAUCAGUAACACCUCUUUCUUCCUACUGGUUUUCUCUGUCAGCAUGCCUUGCAGAUAAAAUGGUUCUGUCACUCUGGCUUGUAAGCAGUUCUACCAGACGGUUAUGCUGUGUGCUGAGCGUGGACUGAAGUUCAGUACUCAGCUUGUGGAGAUAUAACUGGAGAUCCAUGGAGCAAGCUGCUACACAUAAGUGAGGAGAUGUACCGCACUGAUAAAAAAGAGGUACCACUAGCUGCAGACCGAAGGAGUGGAAGAGAGACUGCAACUGUUGCGCCGCCUGCUCCUCCGAGUCCAGGCCCCACCAUCGAGGAGGCCGAGAGGCGGCAUUUCCUAUUUAGUGCUGCAGGCGUCCGUGUGUGUGCAUUUUCACAACUGGCGCUUGCAGCGCCUCUUGCCGGGCCUUAUUUCUUUUUUCCUUUUAUUAAUUUUUUAUUACUGCACGCGCCAGUUUGUGUGCAUUUUUACAACUGGCGCCUGCAGUGCCUCUUGCUCGACCGGUCCGUUAAUUUGUAAUUUUAAUCUGCAAAAAACAACUGUACUUCUUGGGAAUCAAACCAGCGACCUUUCUCAUCGAGGUUCGUUCAUAAUAACAUCCGACCACGGAGCUGGAUCUGCUUU